rnacentral:misc_RNA from 1 species
GGCCUUGACCUCAGAUCACUAUAAAUACAAAGAAUUAGACAAAUAAGAUGGCCUAGAUUAACAACAAAGCCAGAACAAGAUGAGUUUAUGACUAAUAAACAAGCACUGCACAACGUUGCUUUGAAAGCCUUCUCUUUCUCUUUCCAUCAUCAAAUGGCUGGGGACUGUAUGAAUGAGGAACUCUGAUCCUUUUUGAGCCAUCAGGAAGACGUUUACAAGGAAAAUGAUCGUCUUCAACCAUAAAAUCACCACAAACCUGCAUGGAAAACAAAAGAGAGUCAAGACUUGAAACCAAGAAA